rnacentral:rRNA from 1 species
AGAGAGUUAAAUAGUACGUAAAACCGUACAGAAGAAAACGAAUGGCCGCAUUCAUCAGAUGACUUUGGAUUCAAUCUUAUUCUCUUGUGAUCCUAGUUGAUUUGGAACUUCAACAGUCCGUCGGCUAGUUAUUGCUUGGAAUUUGGUGCAUUUUCAAAGUAUUACUGAACCUGGAUCUAUAACAUACAGCUAGUCGAAUCAGCCAAUCUUGGUAGCGACUUUCGUCGUGAUAGGAUUUGGUUUGCAUAAAUAACAAAUUCGACUUGGCGUUAUAGGUAAACAGACAUGUUUUUGAUUUCAGUACCUCGUGUACGGCAUGCCGUAAGCAUUGUUUGUGUCGCAUGAGUGACUAAUGUCUAACCGGCUUUAGUUUCAUUUAUGUUGGUGCCUAAUGUUUUAUGGCUGUCAAUGAAAUCGGCAAGUCUACAGGAGUUUUGAAUGCCGAGUUAUUCGACCCGUCUUGAAACACGGUCUAAGGAGUUCACUGCAUGUGCAAGAGUUCGGCUGUAUGAAAAGCCUUGCUCGUAAUGAAAGUAAAGAACAUUCUCGCAAUGUUUUAAGUGUGAUUUCUGUCAUCUGGUGCAAAUCAUGACCAUGAACGCAACACUGACAGGUUCUAUUGCCGCUGGCAAAGAGCUUAGUAAGAGUAUAUGCAAUGAGACCCGAAAGAUGGUGAACUUAAUGUGUGUAGAAUGAAGCCAGGGGAAACCCUGGUGGAAGUUCGUAGCGGUUCUGACGUGCAAAUCGAUCGUCAAACAUGCAUUAAGGGGCGAAAGACUAAUCGAACCAUCU